AGUUUAUAAUGUGGACAUUUUCGAAACAAAUGUCUAAAUCUUUCCCAGGUUUCAUAUAAUGAUUCACCAUCCAAUUGACUAAAACUAGUAAUGUCCAUUCUAAACUU